GGGGAUAACCAAACGAAAGUUUGGCUAAUACCGCGUAAGCUCCAAGGAGGAAAGUAGGGGACCUAAUAAGGCCUUACGCUAUUUGAUCGGCCGAUGUCGGAUUAGCUAGUUGGUGGGGUAAUGGCUCACCAAGGCAAUGAUCCGUAGCGGGUCUGAGAGGACGAUCCGCCACACUGGGACUGAGACACGGCCCAG
rnacentral:rRNA from 1 species